rnacentral:lncRNA from 1 species
CAUACUUUGUAUUAUUACAUAUAAUACAUAAAAACAACCCAAAUUUUUAGAAGACAAUUAAACAUAUGUCAUCUAAUUAUUUUCUAGUUCUUAGGGACCCAAACAAUGUGAUCUUGUGGAAGGAAAUGACAAACAGGGACGGAUCCAGGUGUAACCUUAAGAACUUUAAAAGCCAAAUGUUUUGGGUUCCAUUGUGAUGUGUCUUUGUGACAAACAGCCACAGCCUUAACUUUUGUUCCAUCAACACCAACUAAUGAUACCAUGUAUGACUCUGUUGUUUCUGUUUUGUGACAAUAAAAUACUGCAUAGGCAUAGUUUUGUUUGUGACAAACUACUGAUUUGUCAUUGUUGUUUCCCAUUUUCUUGGCUCCUAGGAUUGUGUAUUUUUGCAUUUCUGUGUUUUCUUUUUGUGUCUCUGUUGAUAAUGGUUGCACUUUGUUUCCUAACUUUGAUGUGGUGAAAUCAAUCAUGGAUUCUAAUGAAGUUGCACAAUACUUCUCCUCUCCUUUAAUACCUGCGGAAAUUUUUUUUUUAAACUCCGUGUCAAAUCACCAGAUUAAAAUUGUUUUCUUAAUCUAUUAACUUUUGUAUCAAGUUAAUAUAAAAAAAAAAAAUUGAAACAAAGAGAAAUUUUUUGUGUAUAUAUUUUAAUUUCAUUAGUAAUAGAGUGAUAAUAUUCCAUAGUAAGUUAAAUUGCACUUACUAUAUCCUAGUAAAAUCAUGAUUGGUUUGCAAAAACUAAUAUUUUUUUAAAAAAAUUAAUCUAGUAGUACUAUAUAAUGAUGCAUUUAAUUGAAUCUCGACACUGUAAAUACUAAUCCCUCAAUCUCUAUUUAGUUGUCCACUUUAGAAAAGACAUACAUAUUAACAUAAUAAUAAUUAACAUGGUGAAGUUAUAAUUUUAUCCUUAUUAAAUAUAAUUUUAAAAAAAAUGAAUUAAAACACAGAAAUAUUCAAAAAGUUUAAAUGAGAGUAUAAUAGAAUUUUUUUUUGUUCUUUCUUGAUUUGUCAAAAUGAACAAAUAAAUAGGGACAUCUAAAAAAGGAAAUAUGGACAAAUAAAUAGGGACAGAGAGAGUAUUUAUCUCAAAUUACCUACUUACCUUUUUUUUUAAAGAAAGAAUGAUUCUUAUUUUUUUUUUUGGAUUUUUUCUAUGUUUGAAGCUUCAACUAAAUUUAAAUUUGAAUUUUAUUCUGCAAAACUCACUCGAGGGUGACGCUCCCAACAUGAUUUUUUCCAUACGCAGAGCUCAAACUCUGGUUAAGGAUGAAGUACUCCUAGUGAUGCACCAUACUUAAUAAAAAGAUUUUAAAAGUGUAUCUCUUUUUUCUCAUAUCUCGUGUCAAAGUCAAACAACAUCACAUAAAUUGAAGCGGGAAAGAGUAUACCUGGCUCUUCACAUUCUCUUACUGUCUUCUUCAUAAUCUGACCUUCUUCACUAUCCUCAUCCACUGAAAACUUGUGAAGUAUCUCCGGCAUCUUCUCUGAGCUAAACGGAAUCGAAUCCGCCUCUUGACGGGGCAAAAACGAAGCUCCAUUGCCAUUUUCCACAAACUUCAACUUCAUGUUACUUCCCUCAUGCAAAUCUUUUUCCAGGAAAAAUAACGCCACGUUAGGGUUAUCGUUAAGUUGAUCGUCUUUCGCCGCGUAAUUGUAAACAAACGGUGAGGGUCCAGGGUGAACACCCACGGAGACUGGUGGUUUUCCAUGGUGGCCGGGGGUUGUAACACCAACUCCUCCUUUAC